AUUGAACGCUGGCGGCAGGCCUAACACAUGCAAGUCGAGCGGAAACGAUCCUAGCUUGCUAGGAGGCGUCGAGCGGCGGACGGGUGAGUAACGCGUGAGAAUCUACCCAUGAGUGGGGGACAACCCGGGGAAACUCGGGGCUAAUACCGCAUACGCCCUACGGGGUAAAGCAGGGGACCUUCGGGGCCUUGCGCUGAUGGAUGAGCUCGCGUCGGAUUAGCUUGUUGGUGAGGUAAAGGCUCACCAAGGCGACGAUCCGUAGCUGGUCUGAGAGGAUGAUCAGCCACACCGGGACUGAGACACGGCCCGGACUCCGUACGGGAGGCAGCAGGUGGGGAAUCUUGGACAAUGGGGGCAACCCUGAUCCAGCCAUGCCGCGUGUGUGAAGAAGGCCUUCGGGUUGUAAAGCACUUUCAGCAGGGAGGAAGGCUUACCCCUAAUACGGGUGAGUACUUGACGUUACCUGCAGAAGAAGCACCGGCUAAUUUCGUG
rnacentral:rRNA from 1 species